GACGAACGCUGGCGGCGUGCCUAAUACAUGCAAGUAGAACGCUGAAGGAGGAGCUUGCUUCUCUGGAUGAGUUGCGAACGGGUGAGUAACGCGUAGGUAACCUGCCUGGUAGCGGGGGAUAACUAUUGGAAACGAUAGCUAAUACCGCAUAAGAGUAGAUGUUGCAUGACAUUUGCUUAAAAGGUGCAAUUGCAUCACUACCAGAUGGACCUGCGUUGUAUUAGCUAGUUGGUGGGGUAACGGCUCACCAAGGCGACGAUACAUAGCCGACCUGAGAGGGGGAUCGGCCACCCCGGGACUGGAGCCCGGCCCAAGCUCCUACGGGAGGCAGCAGUAGGGGAUCUUCGGCAAUGGACGGAAGUCUGACCGAGCAACGCCGCGUGAGUGAAGGAGGUUUUCGGAUCGUAAAGCUCUGUUGUAAGGGAAGAACGAGUGUGAGAGUGGAAAGUUCACACUGUGACGGUAUCUUACCAGAAAGGGACGGCUAACUACGUG
rnacentral:rRNA from 1 species